CUUGCGGCCAUACCCCGUAUGUAAUAACGAUUCUUGUACGAUCACCGAAGUUAAGUAACGUUGGGCCUGGCCAGUACCUAGAGUGGUGUCCGCUUGGGAAUCCCAGGUGCUGUAA